AUACGGAGGAUGCAAGCGUUAUCUGGAUUUAUUGGGUUUAAAGGGUGCGUAGGCGGUUUGCUAAGCGGGAGGUGAAAUGCCGGCGCUCAACGUCGGAAGUGCCUCCCGAACUGGUGGACUUGAAUGACUCUGCCAUGGGAGGAAUGUGUAGUGUAGCGGUGAAAUGCUUAGAGAUUACACAGAACACCGAUUGCGAAGGCAUCUCACGAAGGGUUGAUUGACGCUGAGGCACGAAAGCGUGGGGAUCAAACAGGAUUAGAUACCCUGGUAGUCCACGCAGUAAACGAUGAUGGCUAACCGCUGGUUUAUUCGGAUCAGUGGCCAAGCGAAAGCGAUAAGCCAUCCACCUGGGGAGUACGACCGCAAGGUUGAAACUCAAAGGAAUUGACGGGG
rnacentral:rRNA from 1 species